GAUGAACGCUGGCGGCGUGCCUAAUACAUGCAAGUCGAGCGAACCUCUUCGGAGGUUAGCGGCGGACGGGUGAGUAACACGUGGGCAACCUACCUUGUAGAUGGGGAUAACAUCGAGAAAUCGGUGCUAAUACCGAAUAACACUUUUCUCCACAUGGAGAAAAGUUAAAAGUUGACUUUUGCUAACACUACAAGAUGGGCCCGCGGCGCAUUAGCUAGUUGGUGAGGUAACGGCUCACCAAGGCGACGAUGCGUAGCCGACCUGAGAGGGUGAUCGGCCACACUGGGACUGAGACACGGCCCAGACUCCGACGGGAGGCAGCAGUAGGGAAUCUUCCGCAAUGGACGAAAGUCUGACGGAGCAACGCCGCGUGAGUGAUGAAGGGUUUCGGGUCGUAAAACUCUGUUGUUAGGGAAGAACAAGUACGAGAGUAACUGCUCGUACCUUGACGGUACCUAACCAGAAAGCCACGGCUAACUACGUGCCAGCAGCCGCCGUAACAC
rnacentral:rRNA from 1 species